CGACCCGGGAGAGACCGCCUUGUGCGGCGCCGAAGGGGAAGCAAAAGCUCUCAGGCAAAAGGACCGGGCCGG
rnacentral:ncRNA from 1 species